CCUACGGGAGGCAGCAGUGGGGAAUAUUGCACAAUGGGGGAAACCCUGAUGCAGCAACGCCGCGUGAGGGAAGAAGGUCUUCGGAUUGUAAACCUCUGUCAGCAGGGAAGAAAAUGACGGUACCUGAGCAGGAAGCCACGGCUAACUACGUGCCAGCAGCCGCGGUAAUACGUAGGGGGCGAGCGUUAUCCGGAAUUACUGGGUGUAAAGUGAGCGUAGGCGGCAUGUCAAGUCUGGGGUGAAAGCCCUGGGCUCAACCCAGGAACUGCUUUUGAAACUGAGAUGCUGGAGUGCAGUAGAGGUAAGCGGAAUUCCUAGUGUAGCGGUGAAAUGCGUAGAUAUUAGGAGGAACACCAGUGGCGAAGGCGGCUUGCUGG
rnacentral:rRNA from 1 species